rnacentral:rRNA from 1 species
GUUGGAGCGCUUCGGCGCACCAGAAACCUUUUGUGAACUUAUACCUAUUUGUUGCCUCGGUCGUAGGCCGGCCGUCUUCACUGAGGCCCCCUGGAAACAGGGAGCAUGUCCCAGCCGGCGGCCAACGUAAACUCUUGUUUCUAUAGUGAAUCUCUGAGUAACAAACACUAAAUGAAAUCAAGAACUUUCACACCAACGGAUCUCUUGGUUCUAGGGCAUCGAAUGAAAGAACGCAGCGAGAAUGCGCACUACACGUAAAUGUGCAAUUGCGAGACACUUCAGUGAUAUCAUCGAAUCUUUGAAUCGCNCAUUGCGCCCUCUGGUAUUCCGGAGGGCAUGCCUGUUCGAGCGUCAUUUCAACCCUCAAGCCUGGCUUGGUGAUUGGGCACUGCCUUCUACGAGGGCGGCCCUGAAAUCUAGUGGUCGAGCUCGCUAGGAUCCCCGAGCGUACUAUUAUAUCUCGUUCUGGAAGGGCCUGGCGGUGCCCUGCGUUGAACCCCCCAUUCUGAAAAUUUGGCCUCGGAUCACC